AAUGUGCCACUUCUCUCAAGUCUGCCGAUUGUACAUGGAUUUUUAAUGAUAUAUGAAUAUAUGAUUGGUAUGUCCUUCGAUGGAUAGUGGUGAACUAGGGAUAAAGCAGCAGAAGAGGCUUUCAUCUUCAAAUAUCCUGCAACUCAGUUUAAGGGAAUGAUGGGCCAAGGUGGAGGAGUUGAUGAAGACAGUACUAAAUCCUAUAGGGCAAGGAUUAUUUUUCUGGCCAAGGACAAGCUAAGAUGGCUCCAAGAUCAUAUGAGCUCCCCCAUUUGGUUAGUUUUUAUAUCUUAACUGAAGUGGAUUUUGUUUCUGUAGAAUGUGACUUCUCUUUGACUUUCUUUGAUGUCUAACGUCAUGAGCUGGUGAAACAAAUUCGUUGUUGAUUUAUGAAUUUCUCUUUAAUUUACCAAAAAUCUAACUUGAUUUUUGUUGCUCUAACUAGAUGAGCAGUAGAAAAUCACAAAGAGGUGCUUAAGAAAUAUAUGUUGUCUAACGUUAUGUCUUUGAUUUCAA